GACGAACGCUGGCGGCGUGCUUAACACAUGCAAGUCGAACGGAAAGGCCCUGCUUUUGUGGGGUGCUCGAGUGGCGAACGGGUGAGUAACACGUGAGUAACCUGCCCUUGACUUUGGGAUAACUUCAGGAAACUGGGUCUAAUACCGGAUAGGAGCUCCUGCUGCAUGGUGUGGGUUGGAAAGUUUCGGCGGUUGGGGAUGGACUCGCGGCUUAUCAGCUUGUUGGUGGGGUAGUGGCUUACCAAGGCUUUGACGGGUAGCCGGCCUGAGAGGGUGACCGGCCACAUGGGGACUGAGAUACGGACCAGACUCCUACGGGAGGCAGCAGUGGGGAAUAUUGCACAAUGGGCGGAAGCCUGAUGCAGAAACGCCGCGAGCGGGAUGACGGCCUUCGGGGUAUAAACCGAUUUCGAAGGUGACGAAGAGUGAGUGACGGUAAUGGGUAAAGAAGCAACGGCUAACUACGUG
rnacentral:rRNA from 1 species